rnacentral:rRNA from 1 species
CCUACGGGCGGCUGCAGUGGGGAAUAUUGGGCAAUGGGCGCAAGCCUGACCCAGCAACGCCGCGUGAAGGAAGAAGGCUUUCGGGUUGUAAACUUCUUUUCUCAGGGACGAAGCAAGUGACGGUACCUGAGGAAUAAGCCACGGCUAACUACGUGCCAGCAGCCGCGGUAAUACGUAGGUGGCAAGCGUUAUCCGGAUUUACUGGGUGUAAAGGGCGUGUAGGCGGGAUAGCAAGUCAGAUGUGAAAACCAUGGGCUCAACCUGGGGCCUGCAUUUGAAACUGUUUUUCUUGAGUGCUGGAGAGGCAGACGGAAUUCCUAGUGUAGCGGUGAAAUGCGUAGAUAUUAGGAGGAACACCAGUGGCGAAGGCGGUCUGCUGGACAGCAACUGACGCUGAGGCGCGAAAGCGUGGGUAGCAAACAGGAUUAGAUACCCGUGUAGUC